AGAUUGAACGCUGGCGGCAUGCCUUACACAUGCAAGUCGAAUGGCAGCACGGGGGCAACCCUGGUGGCGAGCGGCGAACGGGUGAGUAACAUAUCGGAACGUGCCCUGGAGUGGGGGAUAACUAGUCGAAAGAUUAGCUAAUACCGCAUACGAUCUAUGGAUGAAAGUGGGGGAUCGCAAGACCUCAUGCUCGUGGAGCGGCCGAUAUCUGAUUAGCUAGUUGGUGAGGUAAUGGCUCACCAAGGCGACGAUCCGUAACUGGUCUGAGAGGAUGAUCAGUCACACCGGAACUGAGACACGGUCCGACUCCUACGGGAGGCAGCAGUGGGGAAUAUUGGACAAGUGGCGCAAGCUG
rnacentral:rRNA from 1 species